rnacentral:rRNA from 1 species
GACGAACGCUGGCGGCGUGCCUAACACAUGCAAGUCGAACGGAAAUAAGUUGAAGGUUCGCCGGAUACUUAUUUUAGUGGCGGACGGGCGAGUAACGCGUGAGCAACCUGCCUUGUACUGGGGGAUAACACCGGGAAACCGGUGCUAAUACCGCAUAAUACUACAGGAACGCAUGUUUUUGUAGUCAAAACUCCGGUGGUACAAGAUGGGCUCGCGUCCAAUUAGCUAGUUGGUGAGGUAACGGCCCACCAAGGCGACGAUUGGUAGCCGAACUGAGAGGUUGAUCGGCCGCAUUGGGACUGAGACACGGCCCAGACUCCUACGGGAGGCAGCAGUGGGGAAUAUUGCGCAAUGGAGGAAACUCUGACGCAGCAACGCCGCGUGAAGGAUGAAGGUUUUCGGAUUGUAAACCUCUGUUCUUGGUGACGAAAAAGAUGACGGUAGCCAAGGAGAAAGCCCCGGCUAACUACGUGCCAGCAGCCGCGGUAAACUACUCGUA